rnacentral:tRNA from 1 species
GGUUCCGUAGUGUAGUGGUUAUCACGCUCGCUUCACACGCGAGAGGUUCUGGGUUCAAGCCCCAGCGGAACCA